GAUGUCGACAAGGAUGGCACAUCUGUGUACGGAGACCCCCUGUGCACAGGCGACUUCAUUUCUACAUAGCUGCUUUCUGGAAGCUUGCAGGUGUGUAGGAGACGCGGGGAGCCAGCUCCCGGCCCUUCUCUUUCUGCCGGCGGCGGCGCCAGGCGAACAGGCCCAGCAGCAUCACAAUGAGGAACAACAGGAGGACGAUGCCUGUGACAGCACCCACCGAGUGCCGCUCUGCACCGAGCGCCGGGCUGAUCUUGGUGUAGGGAUUCAGCUCCUCCAUCAUGAGGGCGGCUGUGGGUGGAGGGAGGGCCUCAGCUGGGGCGCCUGCGGGCUCCUCAGAUCUCUGGGAGGCUUGGGUUCCGGUCCUGGCCCUGGUCUUUAAUUCCUGGGAUCCCAACCCUUUACUGUGCCUAUUUCUUCAGCUGCCUACCAUGAGUGGGGUCCUAGGGAACUCGCCAGGGGACAAAUGUGAUUGUGGAUCGGAAACAAAAUGAUGAUUUAAUAUUUUACUCUUUUUCAAAAGAUAAGUUAGAUAAUAACUCACUUAACCUUCCCAGCAGCCUGAUUAAAUAAGGACUAGUUCUUUCUCUUUCACAAGUGGAGAAACUGAGUCACUGAAAGGUUAGGUAACUUGCCCAAGAUCAGACAACCAGUAAUUGGUAGUGUCAAGUUUCUCACAAGUCAGAAAAUCUUGGCUCAGCCCCUCUUACUAGCUGUGUUUCCUAGGUGUGACUCAAGAGAGUCCUCAGUUGGCUCGGUAAUUGCACCCUCUGCAGGGGACUGUGAGCACCACCUGGCAGACUGGCAAUGAGCUGUGCGUGCUGUACCAGUGUGCCUACAGAUACUGUUCACGAAGCCCUUCUUGAUACAUGUAAGGGCUAACUCCUGUACACGAAGCCCUUCUUGAUACAUGUAAGAGCUAACUCCCGUCAGAAUGCAAUGUACAUGGUUUUGGUCCCUUUUCUGUCAUGUGAAUAACCGAGCCCAUUCUUAUUCUCCAUUUCCUUAAAACCAAUAGCAAUGUAAUUCGCUACAUGUGUGCAGCACUUUUCAGAGGGGUUUUAUUUAUAGGAAACCAUUUCUCAAGGCCGCACAUUGGUCGUCCCAAUUGCCCUAUGGGGGUCUUCUGACUAGACCAGGAGCCCCUUUGGGCUCCGUGGUUCUCUGUGGAACGUCAUGCCAUGAUGGAAGACAAGGGCUAAUCUACUCUUUCCACUUUGCGUGUGAAGUAACAGGCCCAAUAAAAGGAGAUGACCUGCCCAAGGACACCUAGUAGGUUGAAGACCAGAAUUUGGCAGAUCUUCAGAUGGCCUGUGACUCCCCAGCACUAGCUUGUGGCUACCCUUGCUUGGCUCACAGGAAGCUUGCCAAGGAUGGGCACAGUGAAGCUGAGGCUGCCUGCUCCAUCUGCUCUCCAGCAUCUGGGGCCUCCUUCCUCUCCUGUGUUCCCCCUCUCUGCCCAAAACUGAAUAAAAUCACAGUGUCCUUAUACAAUCCA